GACUCACAGAGGAAUCUGAGAGAGUGAAUACUACCCACAGAGACGCACAGGCCUUUUUCUGAUUUGGGGAUGGGAUACAGACAGAGGGACUCUUGGGUGUGGUGAGUCUCUGUUCCAACUAGAGGACCUCCUGACUGCCACAAAAAUCAAUGUACACAUAUAUCAAAACACCACAUUGUAUACUGUAAACAUAUACAAUUUU
rnacentral:lncRNA from 1 species